UGCCUUAGUGUACGUUGUGGAACGUUGAGUCCAAUAUAACCUAUUUUUAAAACCUCUUAUGGAGUUGAUUUUGUAGCAUAGACAGUGAAUUAGAUAUUUUUGACUGAUAUUAUGAUUGUCUGUUUGUUUCAUAUCUGAAAAGGAGUUAAAACUAUAGGUUCACCACUGUACUAACCUGUCACACACUGAAGACCUAUAGGUUCACCACUGUACUAACCUGUCACACACUGAAGGUCCUAUAGGUUCACACACUGAAGGUCCUAUAGGUUCACACACUGAAGGUCCUAUUGGUUCACCACUGUACUAACCUGUCACACACUGAAGACCUAUAGGUUCACCACUGUACUAACCUGUCACACACUGAAGACCUAUAGGUUCACACACUGAAGGUCCUAUAGGUUCACACACUGAAGGUCCUAUUGGUUCACACAUUGAAGGCCUAUUGGUUCACACACUGAAGGCCUAUAGGUUCACCACUGCACAAACAUGACUAUAAUAGAUAUAAAGGUUGUAUUCAUGUUUCAAGAAAGGAGUGUAUAUAUUUGGCUUGGCAAAGCGGUUUUAGGGCUGACUAAAUGGAACCUGAUAAUGAGUUUUUUACUUCGCUGGUCUCGGCUGAUCUCGGGAAGAAAUUAUGAGUCCUCACUGUCCGAGAUCGAGUCAAGACCUAGUACAAAUGUAUUCAACACCGAGACAAGACCGAUACACUCAAUAUGUGGUCUCAAGACCGUAUUACUACAACACUGGAAAAUAGGUUUAUAUAUUUUGUUUGUAUGUACAGAACAUGGCCAAAAGUAUGUGGACACCCUUUCAAAUUAGUGUAUUCAGCUAUUUCAGCCACACCCGUUGCUGACCAGUGUAUACAAUUGAGCACACAGCCAUGCAAUCUCCAUAGACAAACAUUGGCAGUAGAAUGGCCCGUAGUGAAGAGCUCAGUCACUUUUAACGUGGCACCGUCAUAGGACACCACCUUUCCAACAAGUCAGUUUGUAAUAUUUCUGCCCUGCUAAAGCUGCCCCGGUUAACUCUAAGUGCUGUUAUUGUGAAGAGGAAAUGUCUAGGAGCAACAGCGGCUCAGCCGCUAAGUAGUAGGCCACACAAGCUCACAGAAGGGAACCGCCGAGUGCUGAAGCGCAUAGCGCAUAAAAAUUGUCUGUCCUCGGGUGCAACACCCACUACCGAGUCCCAAACUGCCUCUGGAAGCAAUGUCAGCACAAGAACUGCUCGCCCGGAGCUUCAUGAAAUGGGUUUCCAUUGCCGAGCAGCCACACACAAGCCUAAGAUCCCCAUACGCAAUGCCAAGUGUCGACUGGAGUGGUUUAAAGCUCUUCGCCAUUGGACCCUGGAGCAGUGGAAACGUUCUCUGGAGUAAUGAAUCAGGAGGAAUAAUGGUCUGGGCUGUUUUUCAUGGUUCGGGCGAGGCCCCUUAGUUCCAGUGAAGGGAAAUCUUAACCAUACAGCAUACAAUGACAUUCUAAACGAUUCUGUGCUUCCAACUUCCAACAUACAUUUUUUUAGGGGGAUUGGUGUGGAAGAACUUGACUGCCCUGCACACAGCCCUGACCUCAACAACAUCAAACACCUUUGGGAUGAAUUGGAACGCCGACUGCGAGCCAGGCCUAAUCGGCUAACAUCAGUGCCCAACCUCACUAAUGCUCUAGUGGCUGAAUGGAAGCAAGUCCCCGCAGCAAUUUUCAAACAUCUAGUGGAAAACCUUCCCAGAAAAGUGGAGGCUGGGAGGGGGGACCAACUCCAUAUUAAUGCCCAUGAUUUUGGAAGGAGGUGUGCGACAAGCAGGUGUCCACAUACUUUUGGCCAUGUAGUUUAAGUGUUGGGCUUUAUAGAUUGUUUAUAUGUAUGUGUUGGGCUUUACAAUCAUGCACCUGAGCUCAAUUUCGAGUCUGAAUACUUAUGUAAAUAAGUUAUUUCUGUUUUUUAUUUUUAAUACAUUUGCAAACAUUUUCAAAAAACUGUUUUUGCUUUGUCAUUUGUCAUUGUGUGUAGAUUGCUAAAAAUGCCAAGGUCAUAUUUGUCCAUAUUCUGUUCCAGUUAAAGGGUUGUUCAGAUUCACUUAGAUCUGUGGAAGUACAGUAGCUUAUUAAUAAGAUACACUAUAGGCAGUUUUGUCUUUGCAACAAAUAAAUAUCUAUUCUCUCCUAA